rnacentral:rRNA from 1 species
AGCGCAUACGGUGGAUGCCUUGGCAGUCAGAGGCGAUGAAAGACGUGGUAGCCUGCGAAAAGCUUCGGGGAGUCGGCAAACAGACUGUGAUCCGGAGAUGUCUGAAUGGGGGAACCCAGCCAUCAUAAGAUGGUUAUCUUGUACUGAAUACAUAGGUGCAAGAGGCGAACCAGGGGAACUGAAACAUCUAAGUACCCUGAGGAAAAGAAAUCAACCGAGAUUCCCUUAGUAGUGGCGAGCGAACGGGGACCAGCCCUUAAGUUGUAUUGAGAUUAGCGGAACGUUCUGGAAAGGACGGCCAUAGUGGGUGAUAGCCCUGUACGCGAAAAUCCCUUUGCAAUGAAAUCGAGUAGGACGGGGCACGAGAAACCUUGUCUGAAUAUGGGGGGACCAUCCUCCAAGGCUAAAUACUACUGACUGACCGAUAGUGAACCAGUACCGUGAGGGAAAGGCGAAAAGAACCGCGGAGAGCGGAGUGAAAUAGAUCCUGAAACCGUAUGCGUACAAGCAGUGGGAGCCCACUUUGUUGGGUGACUGCGUACCUUUUGUAUAAUGGGUCAGCGACUUAUUUUCAGUGGCGAGCUUAACCGAAUAGGGGAGGCGUAGCGAAAGCGAGUCUUAAUAGGGCGUCUAGUCGCUGGGAAUAGACCCGAAACCGGGCGAUCUAUCCAUGGGCAGGUUGAAGGUUGGGUAACACUAACUGGAGGACCGAACCGACUACCGUUGAAAAGUUAGCGGAUGACCUGUGGAUCGGAGUGAAAGGCUAAUCAAGCUCGGAGAUAGCUGGUUCUCCUCGAAAGCUAUUUAGGUAGCGCCUCAUGUAUCACUGUAGGGGGUAGAGCACUGUUUCGGCUAGGGGGUCAUCCCGACUUACCAAACCGAUGCAAACUCCGAAUACCUACAAGUGCCGAGCAUGGGAGACACACGGCGGGUGCUAACGUCCGUCGUGAAAAGGGAAACAACCCAGACCGUCAGCUAAGGUCCCAAAGUCAUGGUUAAGUGGGAAACGAUGUGGGAAGGCUUAGACAGCUAGGAGGUUGGCUUAGAAGCAGCCACCCUUUAAAGAAAGCGUAAUAGCUCACUAGUCGAGUCGGCCUGCGCGGAAGAUGUAACGGGGCUCAAACCAUGCACCGAAGCUACGGGUAUCAUCUUAGGAUGAUGCGGUAGAGGAGCGUUCUGUAAGCCUGUGAAGGUGAGUUGAGAAGCUUGCUGGAGGUAUCAGAAGUGCGAAUGCUGACAUGAGUAACGACAAUGGGUGUGAAAAACACCCACGCCGAAAGACCAAGGUUUCCUGCGCAACGUUAAUCGACGCAGGGUUAGUCGGUCCCUAAGGCGAGGCUGAAAAGCGUAGUCGAUGGAAAACAGGUUAAUAUUCCUGUACUUCUGGUUAUUGCGAUGGAGGGACGGAGAAGGCUAGGCCAGCCUGGCGUUGGUUGUCCAGGUUUAAGGUGGUAGGCUGAGAUCUUAGGUAAAUCCGGGAUCUCAAGGCCGAGAGCUGAUGACGAGUGUUCUUUAGAACACGAAGUGGUUGAUGCCAUGCUUCCAAGAAAAGCUUCUAAGCUUCAGGUAACCAGGAACCGUACCCCAAACCGACACAGGUGGUUGGGUAGAGAAUACCAAGGCGCUUGAGAGAACUCGGGUGAAGGAACUAGGCAAAAUGGCACCGUAACUUCGGGAGAAGGUGCGCCGGUGAGGGUGAAGCAUUUACUGCGUAAGCCCACGCCGGUCGAAGAUACCAGGCCGCUGCGACUGUUUAUUAAAAACACAGCACUCUGCAAACACGAAAGUGGACGUAUAGGGUGUGACGCCUGCCCGGUGCCGGAAGGUUAAUUGAUGGGGUUAGCGCAAGCGAAGCUCUUGAUCGAAGCCCCGGUAAACGGCGGCCGUAACUAUAACGGUCCUAAGGUAGCGAAAUUCCUUGUCGGGUAAGUUCCGACCUGCACGAAUGGCGUAACGAUGGCGGCGCUGUCUCCACCCGAGACUCAGUGAAAUUGAAAUCGCUGUGAAGAUGCAGUGUAUCCGCGGCUAGACGGAAAGACCCCGUGAACCUUUACUAUAGCUUUGCACUGGACUUUGAAUUUGCUUGUGUAGGAUAGGUGGGAGGCUUUGAAGCGUGGACGCCAGUCUGCGUGGAGCCAACCUUGAAAUACCACCCUGGCAACUUUGAGGUUCUAACUCAGGUCCGUUAUCCGGAUCGAGGACAGUGUAUGGUGGGUAGUUUGACUGGGGCGGUCUCCUCCUAAAGAGUAACGGAGGAGUACGAAGGUGCGCUCAGACCGGUCGGAAAUCGGUCGUAGAGUAUAAAGGCAAAAGCGCGCUUGACUGCGAGACAGACACGUCGAGCAGGUACGAAAGUAGGUCUUAGUGAUCCGGUGGUUCUGUAUGGAAGGGCCAUCGCUCAACGGAUAAAAGGUACUCCGGGGAUAACAGGCUGAUACCGCCCAAGAGUUCAUAUCGACGGCGGUGUUUGGCACCUCGAUGUCGGCUCAUCACAUCCUGGGGCUGAAGCCGGUCCCAAGGGUAUGGCUGUUCGCCAUUUAAAGUGGUACGCGAGCUGGGUUUAGAACGUCGUGAGACAGUUCGGUCCCUAUCUGCCGUGGACGUUUGAGAUUUGAGAGGGGCUGCUCCUAGUACGAGAGGACCGGAGUGGACGAACCUCUGGUGUUCCGGUUGUCACGCCAGUGGCAUUGCCGGGUAGCUAUGUUCGGAAAAGAUAACCGCUGAAAGCAUCUAAGCGGGAAACUUGCCUCAAGAUGAGAUCUCACUGGAACCUUGA